AUGAGACAGCAACACAAGCUUCCACACACACCAAGGAAGAACUAUAAGAAGGCAGCAAAGAGAGGAGCAUCUCCAAUGGCUAUCAGCAAGAAGAGGAAGCUUAACACUUCUACAAGUCCAGAAGAAGAACCUUGCUCAGUUACUGGCAGCAAUGUAGAUGCAAGAGUUGCUGCAUGUGAAGAGCAAGUUCUCCCUCCAGUUGUUCCCCAAAUCCCUGUGAAACUGACUAGGAGCAGGGCUAGGGAGAUGACAAUCCCAGCUAGCAACACAAGGAGCAAGAAGGCAAAAUAUGGAAAAUGA
rnacentral:rRNA from 1 species